GCCAGGCCCUUCCAAUCGAAACCUGCAUGCACCUCUACACGAGGUACAUGAAAAUCCUGGAGUUGUAGGAGCUUUGCCCAUGUUUCCACCAAUGAUGAGAACAAGCCCUGCAAAAUCAGGAUGACUAACUUAAAUCUGCAAAAAGGACAAAGAUAAACAGCCUUGCUGCAAGUGCUGUUUGACCAUCUCAGUUCCUUCAGAAUGAUGCACUACAUGAGUCUCUGAAGUCCAGAGAAUGAAAGAAAGAUUGCGUCAGGAUCAGGGUGAAAGUGGCAAUUGCCAAUCCAAGAACCAGCAACUCUGAAGAGAACUUGCAGGACAGCUGAUGCACUGCAUGAGUCUCUGAAGUCCAAAGAAUGAAAGAAAGAUUGUGUCAGGAUCAGGGUGAAAGCGGCAAUUGCCAAUCCAAGAACCAGCAACUCUGAAGAGAACUUGCAGGAUAGCUGUAAGUAUAUUAUACUACACAAAUAUUUACAGUGUAUUAACUGAACAUUAG